rnacentral:lncRNA from 1 species
CAGUUUGAAUGGUAGUUGCGGACCAGAGCAGCCGCGUCACGCAGCUACUACCUGCGUGACGCGACUGUUCAUGUCCAAAAGUCUUUAAUAUGGAUUGGACUACCUGCGUAACGCAGCUAUUCGCAAACCCAGGAUACUUUUGUAUUUAAUGUGAUAUUUCGGAUGAAUAAUCAAUAAAACUGAGAAUAUUAAUAAGUCGCGAAUAGUUCUGUCACGCAGCUAGGAGUUCCGUCACGCGACUGUUCUUCAUAGAACAGCCGCGUGACGCAACUGUUCCAAUUUCCAGUAGCACAAUAAGAGUUGCGCCACGCGAGUGUUCUUCAUAGAUUACCCGCGUGACGCGACUGUUCUAAAAGUUCCAGGAUGAAUGAAGGGAGUCGCGUCACGCGACUGUUCCUUAUGGGACACCUGCGUGACGCAACUGUCUCAUGAUUUCAGUGUAUUUUACUUAUUCCACCGUAAUUUCAUACAAUUAAACAGAUUUUAAUUUUAACUCAGAAAAUGAUCAAACAUGGGCAAAUUAAGAUUUAAUCAAAUCAAAU